UACGUAGGGUGCAAGCGUUUAAUCGGAAUUACUGGGCGUAAAGCGUGCGCAGGCGGUUUUGUAAGUUUGUCGUGAAAUCCCCGGGCUCAACCUGGGAAUGGCGAUGAAGACUGCAAGGCUAGAAUCUGGCAGAGGGGGGUAGAAUUCCACGUGUAGCAGUGAAAUGCGUAGAGAUGGUGGAGGAACACCGAUGGCGAAGGGCAGCCCCCUGGGUCAAGAUUGACGCUCAUGCACGAA
rnacentral:rRNA from 1 species